CCAUCACCUGCUGAUGACUGUCAGCCUGGCCUCUCGCCUCAGAGAUGCCCCUUCCAGUGAGCAUGGCACCCAUGCAACAUUAGAGGCCCGGGCGGCCAGACCUUCACAGUCAGAACUGGAGUAGGAACUUGAUUGCUCCUACGGACAGUGGGUUUGGAAAAGUGGCUAACAGAGAAACAAA